UACGGGGGGGGCAAGCGUUGUUCGGAAUUACUGGGCGUAAAGGGCUCGUAGGUGGCCAACUAAGUCAGACGUGAAAUCCCCAGGCUCAACUUGGGAACUGCGUCUGAUACUGGAUGGCUUGAAUUCGGGAGAGGGAUGCAGAAUUCCAGGUGUAGCGGUGAAAUGCGUAGAUAUCAGGAGGAACACCGGUGGCGAAGGCGGGUCUCUGGGCCGAUACUGACGCUGAGGAGCGAAAGCAUGGGUAGCGAACAGG
rnacentral:rRNA from 1 species